GGAACCUCACCUUUUGGACCAACUCCUCCCAAAACUCAUCUCCUUCUCCAGCCCGUCCCAUCCCCAAGAUCCCUGCACCUAUAUAAAUAAACUCACUUACCUUUUAUCCAAUGUCUCAGUCUCUGUUUGUUGUUAGUAUUUGCUCACGUUGACCUCCUCCUGCCAACCUGAUAGUAUGCUUCAGCCAAGUCAAAUGUCCGUGAGCAAUACUACCGACAAUCAGACCCUUGGAGCCACUAGUCAACCCGAGUCUAAGAUUAUGGAUCAUGAUCAAAAACUUAAUCAAUUAUAUUUAGCGCAACAGGAAACUAGAGUACUAUUAAGUCAAAUCACUCAACAUAUUUCUGCCAUUGAUAGUAAAUUAAAUACUGUUCUCCCGGUCAAUCCUGUUUUACUUCCAGCUGCCACCCCCCCCACUGCCAGCUAUAACUACUAGAGAACCAGAUAUCCAUCCGUCUGAAUUUUUUGAUGGAGACAUUAAUCACUGUGCCGGUUUUUUGCUCCAAUGUCGAUUAGCUUUUGCUCGUUCCCCGUCAUUGUUUCCUACCCACUCAGCCCAAGUGACAUAUAUUGUUUCAGCUUUACAGGGGAAAGCCCUCAGAUGGGCUCAAACAUUUCUGUCUGCACAUUCCUCUGACACUCUGACCUCUCAGCUUUUCAUUCAAGAAUUCCAGCGUGUGUUUGACCAUCCCCUCCAGCAGGAGGAGGCAGCGAAGCGGCUAAUCAACCUCCGACAAGGUAAUAAGUCCGCAGCUAAACACUCUGUGGAUUUUCGAAUUGUGGCCGAGGAGGCAGGCUGGGAGGAACUAGCGUUAAAAGACUGAAAGAACGAAAGAAGGAAAGGAACUACGUUUCCCAGAAUCCUCGGGUCCCCGCUCCCCUCGUCGGUGGUGAGUUUCCGCCUUCUAACGCCACAGCUGCUGCUAAUUCCACUGAACCCAUGCAAAUUGGAUGCACACGGCUGACUCCAGAGGAGAGACAGAGACGGUUUGAAGCUAAAAUUUGUAUUUAUUGUGGCAACAAGGGACAUUUCGUCGCCACUUGUCCGCUGCGGGGAAACAGGCAGUCUCGUCAGUAGAACGGGGAAGCUGACGAGACAGGACAAUUUCUCCCCUAACUCUUUUGUUUUUCCUUCCCGCUACGGUAGUUUGUGGGCAAAACAAGCUACCGAUGUCGGCCCUUGUGGACUUCGGUGCCGAACAAAACUUAAUCUCAAGUGACAUGGUGGAACAACUGGAAAUUCCCACAUCUCCACUCGAUCCUCCUCGCUCUAUCGCUGGCGUCACAGGACAGCUCCAAUCCCAGGUCAACAGAGUUGUCCCCAGUCUGCAUGUGAUUUUGUCGGGAAACCACCACGACUUCGGUGAGUUUGUUGUUUUUGACUCUACUUCUCCACAAAUUAUUUUUGGUUUUCCGUGGUUGUCUCUGCAUAACCCAGUCAUUAAUUGGAAGGAAAAGAGGGUCGAGAACUGGAGUACCUUUUGCUUACAACACUGUUUAAAGUCGYCUGUCUCAGUCUCCGUUAAAGGGGAGGAACCUGUUGAAGAGACAGAUUUGUCAUCCAUACCUGAAGUUUACCAUGAUUUAGCAUGUUUUCAGUAAAAGUAAGGCACUUUCCUUACCUCCCCAUAGACCAUACGACUGCGCCAUAGACUUAAUACCUGAUUCAGUACUUCCUUCCAGUCGCCUCUAUAAUCUCUCCGGUCCCAAAAAAGAGGCCAUGAAAACCUACAUCGACGAAUCCUUAGCUUCCGGUAUUAUCCACCCCUCCAAAUCUCCCCUAGGGGCAGGAUUUUUCUUUGUGGCCAAAAAAGAUAAGACUCUCAGACCAUGCAUUGACUACAGAGGUCUCAA